rnacentral:misc_RNA from 1 species
AAGUCGUAACAAGGUUUCCGUAGGUGAACCUGCGGAAGGAUCAUUAACACGUUAUCCACGUAUUACCAACCGAGAACCGUUAAACAUAACCUUCGUUAGGAAUGAACAGCAACUGAUUAGAGUGAUGGAAGGGUCUGCUUCGCGGCGCCUGUGCUCUAGCUGUUAACUGUAGUCGCAAGGCUGCUACCUGUUGUAUCUGAAUCGGAGGCAUCUCUGGGCGAACAAAUCUCCUUCCAUGAAGUGGGCGCCUGGAAACUUAUUCACAAUUCUAACCCCUUUUUGCUAGUUGACUUUUAUAUGUUGUACUUUCGCCUUCGGGCACUGUGCACACGUUUAAUUAUUUGAACGUUAAAAAUACAACUCUUAGCAAUGGAUAUCUAGGUUCUC